rnacentral:rRNA from 1 species
GUGAGUAACGCGUGAGCAACCUGCCUAUGACAGUGGGAUAGCCUCGGGAAACCGGGAUUAAUACCGCAUAAAAUCGUAGAAACACAUGUUUCAACGGUCAAAGAUUUAUCGGUCAUAGAUGGGCUCGCGUCUGAUUAGCUAGUUGGUGAGAUAACAGCCCACCAAGGCGACGAUCAGUAGCCGGUCUGAGAGGAUGAACGGCCACAUUGGAACUGAGACACGGUCCAA